GUGAAUAUAGUUUAAACAAAAUAUUAGAUUGUGAUUCUAAGGAUAGGGGUUAAAACCUCCUUAUUCACC
rnacentral:tRNA from 2 species